GCGUGAGUGAUGAAGGCCUUCGGGUUGUAAAGCUCUUUUGGCGGGGACGAUGAUGACGGUACCCGCAGAAUAAGCCCCGGCUAACUUCGUGCCAGCAGCCGCGGUAAUACGAAGGGGGCUAGCGUUGUUCGGAAUUACUGGGCGUAAAGGGCGCGUAGGCGGUCCUGAUCGUCGGAUGUGAAAGGCCUGGGCUCAACCUGGGAACUGCAUCCGAUACGGCGGGACUGGAGUGUGGGAGAGGUUGGUGGAAUUCCCAGUGUAGAGGUGAAAUUCGU
rnacentral:rRNA from 1 species